rnacentral:rRNA from 1 species
AGUGAACGCUGGCGGUAGGCCUAACACAUGCAAGUCGAACGGCAGCACAGUAAGAGCUUGCUCUUACGGGUGGCGAGUGGCGGACGGGUGAGGAAUACAUCGGAAUCUACUUUUUCGUGGGGGAUAACGUAGGGAAACUUACGCUAAUACCGCAUACGACCUACGGGUGAAGGCAGGGGAUCUUCGGACCUUGCGCGAUUGAAUGAGCCGAUGUCGGAUUAGCUAGUUGGCGGGGUAAAGGCCCACCAAGGCGAUGAUCCGUAGCUGGUCUGAGAGGAUGAUCAGCCACACUGGAACUGAGACACGGUCCAGACUCCUACGGGAGGCAGCAGUGGGGAAUAUUGGACAAUGGGCGCAAGCCUGAUCCAGCCAUACCGCGUGGGUGAAGAAGGCCUUCGGGUUGUAAAGCCCUUUUGUUGGGAAAGAAAAGCAGCAGGUUAAUACCCCGCUGUUCUGACGGUACCCAAAGAAUAAGCACCGGCUAACUUCGUG